GGGUACGGAGGCGGCUCCCCUUCCCUCGCGCCGUCCUGCUCUCACACCGGGCCCCACCGUCCUGUGAGCAGGAAGGGAUUUCGAUGGUUUUUGUUUGUAAAGACCCUGAGCGUGCCGGGGCAGGGCUCUAGGCCCGCUUGACGCUGUUGAGGAGCUCGAGCAACUAAAAGACUACAAAUACAGAAAUAUAAGAAGGGGGAGGUGGAAAAGGAGGCACUUUUGUCAGGGUGUGAAAAGGAAAAGAGGCUUCCCAAUAUAUGGUGCAACUCCAAAAUAUCCAGACUGGACCCUGCUCAUGGAGAAGAAACAGUCAAGUGAAUAUCUUGAUUCUGAUUUCUCCAGGCCUUUGCAUAGUGAACAAGCAUCUCUCUGGUGUUGGGAUGGUAGGAUCAGAACUUAUCUAUUUGCUUUACAUCCUCAAAUGUAAGUAUUUGAUCCUCCAAAUAGUGUCAGUCCCCAUCGACUGACAAGUGACAUCAGCUCCGCAAUUCAUUUAAAACAUCUGAUCUCCAAGCAACUGGCUUCCCAGAUGAAAAGCCCUACGUGUGGAAUUUACACCUACCCACCUUUUAAGUAGAGAGUUUAUUACCUAGUGGUUUUCAGCUGAUAUUUAGGAAUGUCUUUUUAAUACCCCUGUUAACAGAAGUUGAAAGGAGGUUCGGCUAUGUGGUUGGUCUUUAAUGUCCACUGGCUACUUCAGCCAGAAGGAAAGGGCAGGGCUGGGGGAGGAAGGAGAGCCUAACAAGAUUAAUUUUGCUCAGAAAUGAGAAGAAACAGCUAUUACCAAAAUAAUAGAAGCUGUUUCUGCAGGAAAACUCUGUUAGCACUUAGUGCAGCUAAUUGUGUCAGCUUUCACAUUUAAAAACGUUUGUGUGCUUGUAAUGGGAGGGAUAUAUCACCAUUUUUCAUGGGAGGGAUGGAUGUUGCAAGUAUUUCAAGAUCAUACCUAUUGCAAGUAUUUCAAGAUCAUCUACACCUCCUCUGUUACCCAAAAGUAUACAUUCAAAUAUAAUAAAUUAUGAAGUACAAUAUA